AAUGAGCAUCACUAAUAUGGAGCUGCCAGAGAACAGAAGAAAAGCUGCAGCAGAGGUGAUUUAGGCAGAAAGGCGAAAAGGCAUGUGUAUGGACCGCAGAGUCACCAGGCACUCAGAAACCUGUCGCAAGAGAGCAGGAGUAUUGAUUUGGCUUCAGAAACAACUAAUCAAAUCACAAUUUUACCUUUUAAAAACAAGUGCAACCAAAAUCAUACAGCCAUACAAGGGUUACAGGACAGAAGCAACUUUGUCUGUACCAAGUGCAAGCUGGUCUCCAUAUUGGAAGAGAAG